rnacentral:rRNA from 1 species
GAGUCCACAUCGACGGGGAGGUUUGGCACCUCGAUGUCGGCUCAUCGCAUCCUGGGGCUGUAGUCGGUCCCAAGGGUUGGGCUGUUCGCCCAUUAAAGCGGUACGCGAGCUGGGUUCAGAACGUCGGGAGACAGUUCGGUCCCUAUCCGUCGCGGGCGCAGGAAAUUUGAGAGGAGCUGUCCUUAGUACGAGAGGACCGGGAUGGACGCACCGCUGGUGUACCAGUUGUCUUGCCAAAGGCAUAGCUGGGUAGCUACGUGCGGACGGGAUAAGUGCUGAAAGCAUCUAAGCAUGAAGCCC